rnacentral:rRNA from 1 species
CGGAGUGGACGCACCACUGGUGUUCGGGUUGUCAUGCCAAUGGCAUUGCCCGGUAGCUAAGUGCGGAAAAGAUAACCGCUGAAAGCAUCUAAGCGGGAAACUUGCCUUGAGAUGAGUCUUCCCUGACCCUUUAAGGGUCCUAAAGGAACGUUUAAGACUAAGACGUUGAUAGGUUGGGUGUGUAAGCGUAGCGAUACGUUGAGCUAACCAAUACUAAUGAACCGUGAGGCUUAACCUGACAACACCGAAGGUGUUU